AGUCAGUUAGGUAGUCCAAAUAUAUUUGUGCUUAUGCUCUGUAGUGUCCGACUCUUUGCAACACUUGGGACUGUAGCCUGCCAGGCUCCUCUGUCUAUGGAGAUUCUCCAGGCAAGAAUACUGAAGUGGGUUACCAUUUCCUACUCCAGGGGAUCUUAAUCCGGAGAUUGUCUUAUGUCUCCCGCAUUGGCAGGUGUACAGCAUAGUGAAACACAACGAAGGAAUUUUUCAACAAAACAGAAAAGUAACUUACUGAAUGGGAGAAUAUAUUUGCAAGAAGGUUUUGUCAUAACAGCCUGACCUGGAAGAUGUCCUAAAGCAAGCCUCUAAAACGAGGGCAGUGUCAAAAAUGAGGAUUCCCUUGACACAUCUAUCUCUUUGGUUUGGGGAAACAAAGCAUCCUGCUUUCUUGGCAAUCUGCACUUCCUGAAACAGACUGCCUUCCUAGAGUUUGUCACAUUGAGAGCAGGGGUCAAUUCUUUCCUGCACAUCAUUCACGGUUGCCUUGAGUUGGGUCGACCACACCCCCAGUGCCCUCUGCAAUCCAGAACUCUUCCAAGUCUCUGGAAAUUUGGGAGAAUGAAGGGACAUUUGCAAGUAUAGCUUGAAAAGGCAUAUCAAUUCUAUUUUCCUUUGCAGAGGUGGUAAGCCAUUGCCUGUAGGACAUAUCUCAUCUGCUGCUUCUUUUUGUAAAUAUAAUUGUAUUGCCAUACAGAUAUGCUCAUUUGUUUAUCUAUUGUCUAAUGCUGCCCUUAUGCUCUAACAGCAGAGUUGUAUAGUUGCAAUGGAGGCUAUAUGGCACAAAAAGCUUAAAAUAUUUGCUGUUGGCUCCUUUAUAGAUAAAGUAAGUGUUCCAACCCUUGUUCUUCUCUGUUUCCAUAAUUUUAACUGAGGGUAUUGCUGAUCAUUAAAAGAGGAUCAGAUUAAAAGAUUAAUAAACAUUCUCAAGUGAAAAUAAAAUGAAGCAGAAGAUGG
ensembl:lncRNA